rnacentral:rRNA from 1 species
UACGAAGGGGGCUAGCGUUGCUCGGAAUUACUGGGCGUAAAGGGUGCGUAGGCGGGUCUUUAAGUCAGAGGUGAAAUCCUGGAGCUCAACUCCAGAACUGCCUUUGAUACUGAGGAUCUUGAGUUCGGGAGAGGGGCGUGGAAUUCCGGGUGUAGUGGUGAAAUGCGUAGAGAUCCGGAGGAACCCCAGAGGCGAAGGCGGCGCCUGGCUCGCAACUGACGCUCAGACACGACAGCAUGGGGAGCGAACGGG